rnacentral:rRNA from 1 species
UACGGAGGAUCCGAGCGUUAUCCGGAUUUAUUGGGUUUAAAGGGUGCGCAGGCGGGAAAUUAAGUCGGCGGUGAAAUUUUGCGGCUCAACCGUAAAAGUGCCUUCGAUACUGGUUUUCUUGAGUGUAGCUGAAGUAGGCGGAAUUUGUGGUGUAGCGGUGAAAUGCUUAGAGAUCACACAGAAUAUCGAUUGCGAAGGCAGCUCACAAAGCCAAGAUUGACGCUGAGGCACGAAAGUGUGGGGAUCAAACAGGAUUAGAUACCCUGGUA